AUUCUUUCUUCUUCAACCGUGGAAAGAACUGAAAAUGGCAGCCAUGGAUGAGCUCCAUUCAGCCAAGCUUCUAUGGCUUAUAUAGAGUUCCAGGUUAGCUCGGGUUGGAAGCCGUCAGAGAUAUUAUCACCCUAUCGAGUUAACGUUAUCGGAGUAAGUAAACUCAAGUGAUUCGAGUCUAUGGCAUGUAUAGGGUUUUAAUGUGAGUAUGUAAUAUUAUGAUUUAGCCAAAGGCAUUAGCUUGUUAUUAAGGUAGUAUUAGUCAUGUAAAUUGGCCUAUGUCGGCUAAUGACGUUAUGGGCCCAUAUGAUUAUUCUUAUGCAUUUAUGUUAUUAUUUCUUGUGAUGUGGCUUACAACAUGUAUGCCUAGAGAUUGAAUUGAGAUUCAUUGAUGAGCUAGUAACUAAUGCAGGAUUAAGUGAUUGGUAAAUAGUUAAUAA